CUCUGAAUCACUUUGCGUACCAUCAUCAUGUUUAUUUCCUUUCAACCUUUUCAAGUACACUGGAACAUCACUUUUAAUGCUUUUAGAAUCCUCUUCUGUUCUUUCCCAUAGCAUUUGAGGAGGGUUGUUUUGUGCUAGCCAGUCAGCAACUUUGUUUUCGGGUGCCAUCAUUCCUGUUUGAAUCCCCAGCAAGUCUUGAGUUCCAGGAGAAGACUUCUUGGACUUGUGGCGCUGAUCAGAAGUAAACUUUGUCACAUGGUCUCUAAUAGUUACCUUCCCUGGGGUACUGUCAUCAAAUUCAAUGGUAAAUGAAGCAUGCCCUGCACCUGUUAUAUGGGAACUUGGCGUGUCUUUUGUUGGGAUUUCAUGAAUAGUGCUUUCUGUUAUUUGUGAUGGUUGCUGGAAUUCUUUUGUAGGGAUUUCAAAAUAACUUGGUUCCCUACAGAAAGGAAAA
rnacentral:lncRNA from 1 species